UUUUUAGAGAGAUGGAAUACGUAAUGAAGCUGUUAUAUUUGGUUAAUCGCUUGAUUAGAAAAAUUGCGAGACGAAACGUCUUCAAUCUAUUCUCAAACUUUCAAUGAGUAUGACGUCUUGUUUGCUUGAAUGAAGCAUAGAAAUUGAAGUAUAUUCCAAAUGGGCCAUUUUUGGUAAGCAGAAUUGGCGCUAUGAAAUGAUUUA
rnacentral:ncRNA from 1 species